ensembl:lncRNA
GAGACAGAGACACAGACACAGACACAGAGGGAGAGAGCCUAAGCGGAGCCGGACGGACCAAGCGCCGCAGCCCGGUUCCUCGGGACCCGCUCCCCGCGGCCGCGGCCCCGCUCCCCGCCGGCCGACCCCAGGGCUUUGCCUCUCCUUGCAGGUGUCCCCAGGCUGAAAAUGGGACCCUUGACCCACUGCAAGUUGUUCACUGCUCAAAACCCACCCUGGGGAGGUUCCCCCUUCACACGGCCCCUCCAGUGACGUUUAUGGCCUCUAGAACAGCCAGAGGUGACACUUAUAUUGCCAGGAGUGGAUGGAUGGUGUUCAUCCCAAAGAGCAGAAUCGUGGGACGGAAAUCACCUUUCAUCCUCACACCGCAGAACCCUCCCCCAAAAAGCAAGCAAGCAAACAAACAAAAAACCCAACAUCAAAAGCUGUCACCCCCAAGCUCUGCUGGUCCAGAUGUUGCACAAAGUUCAUGGAAAGUGUGAGCAGUCCUACUGAAAGCCCACGGAGGGGACCUUGGGAGGCAGCGCGCAGCAGAUAGAGCCAUCCGCCCAGAGCUUCGCAGCACUAUGGAAGAAAAAUCUCUAUAAAACGAAAUAGGCAAUCAACUGAAAUCUAUCCUCUU